GAGUGUUAAGUUUAGGGGGUUUCCCCCCUUAGUGCUGCAGCUAACACAUUAAGCACUCCCCCUGGGGAGNACGGUCGCAAGACUGACACUCAAAGGAAUUGACGGGGGCCCGCACAAGCGGUGGAGCAUGUGGUUUAAUUUGAAGCAACGCGAAGAACCUUACCAGGUCUUGACAUCCUCUGACAAUCCUAGGGAUAGGACGUCCCCUUCGGGGGCAGAGUGACAGGUGGUGCAUGGUUGUCGUCAGCUCGUGUCGUGAGAUGUUGGGUUAAGUCCCGCAACGAGCGCAACCCUUGAUCUUAGUUGCCAGCAUUCAGUUGGGCACUCUAAGGUGACUGCCGGUGACAAACCGGAGGAAGGUGGGGAUGACGUCAAAUCAUCAUGCCCCUUAUGACCUGGGCUACACACGUGCUACAAUGGACAGAACAAAGGGCAGCGAAACCGCGAGGUUAAGCCAAUCCCACAAAUCUGUUCUCAGUUCGGAUCGCAGUCUGCAACUCGACUGCGUGAAGCUGGAAUCGCUAGUAAUCGCGGAUCAGCAUGCCGCGGUGAAUACGUUCCCGGGCCUUGUACACACCGCCCGUCACACCACGAGAGUUUGUAACACCCGAAGUCGGUGAGGUAACCUUUUAGGAGGA
rnacentral:rRNA from 1 species